rnacentral:rRNA from 1 species
UACGAAGGGGGCUAGCGUUGCUCGGAUUGACUGGGCGUAAAGGGCGCGUAGGCGGUUCGUACAGUCAGACGUGAAAUUCCUGGGCUCAACCUGGGGGCUGCGUUUGAUACGUGCGGACUUGAGUGCGGAAGAGGGUCGUGGAAUUCCCAGUGUAGAGGUGAAAUUCGUAGAUAUCGAGAGGAACACCGGUGGCGAAGGCGGCCUUCUGGACAGUGACUGACGCUGAGACGCGAAAGCGUGGGAGCAAACAGG